rnacentral:ncRNA from 2 species
ACUGAAAAUGUGUUUAUUUACCUGAAGUAUGGGGGACAGAGUGGAUUGAUGUCAUGCAUUUUUGCAAACACAAUAUCUAUCAUUUAAAAUGAAAUACACUUGUACUGAAUUUUAAAAA